rnacentral:rRNA from 1 species
CAGUAGCCGCGGGAAUACGGAGGAUCCAAGCGUUAUCCGGAAUCAUUGGGUUUAAAGGGUCCGUAGGCGGUCUUGUAAGUCAGUGGUGAAAGCCCAUCGCUCAACGGUGGAACGGCCAUUGAUACUGCAGGACUUGAAUUAUUGGGAAGUAACUAGAAUAUGUAGUGUAGCGGUGAAAUGCUUAGAGAUUACAUGGAAUACCAAUUGCGAAGGCAGGUUACUACCAAUUGAUUGACGCUGAUGGACGAAAGCGUGGGUAGCGAACAGGAUUAGAUACCCCUGUAGUCCCUGUCUCUUAUAU